AACGGGUGCGUAACACGUGAGCGACCUACCCUGGAAUGGGGGAUAGCCGGCCCAACGGCCGGGUAAUACCGCAUACGCUCUUCGAGCUUCAUGGCUUGGAGAGGAAACCUUUUGGGUUCCUGGAGGGGCUCGCGGCCUAUCAGCUAGUUGGUGAGGUAACGGCUCACCAAGGCUAUGACGGGUAGCUGGUCUGAGAGGAUGGCCAGCCACAUUGGGACUGAGAAACGGCCCAGACUCCUACGGGAGGCAGCAGUGGGGAAUAUUGCGCAAUGGUCGAAAGACUGACGCAGCGACGCCGCGUGGAGGAUGAAGCCCCUCGGGGUGUAAACUCCUGUUGCCCGGGACGAACCUCUCCUUUCGAGGAGACUGACGGUACCGAGUGAGGAAGCACCGGCUAACUCUGUGCCAGCAGCCGCGGUAAUACAGAGGGUGCGAGCGUUGUCCGGAAUCACUGGGCGUAAAGGGCGCGUAGGCGGCUUGGUAAGCGUGCGGUGAAAGCUCAGGGCUCAACCCUGAGUCUGCCGUGCGAACUGCCAGGCUAGAGCACGGUAGAGGCACAUGGAAUUCCGGGUGUAGCGGUGGAAUGCGUAGAGAUCCGGAAGAACACCGGUGGCGAAGGCGGUGUGCUGGGCCGUAGCUGACGCUGAGGCGCGACAGCGUGGGGAGCAAACAGGAUUAGAUACCCUGGUAGUCCACGCCGUAAACGAUGGGCACUAGGCCCUUGGGGGAGCGACCCCCUGAGGACCGGCGCAAACGCAUUAAGUGCCCGCCUGGGGAGUACGGCCGCAAGGCUGAAACUCAAAGAAUUGACGGGGCCGCACAAGCGGUG
rnacentral:rRNA from 1 species